rnacentral:rRNA from 1 species
GGUUAAGCGACUAAGCGUACACGGUGGAUGCCUAGGCAAUCAGAGGCGAUGAAGGACGUGCUAAUCUGCGAUAAGCGUCGGUAAGGUGAUAUGAACCGUGAUAACCG